rnacentral:rRNA from 1 species
UACAGAGGUCCCAAGCGUUGUUCGGAUUCAUUGGGCGUAAAGGGGUGCGUAGGUGGCGCCAUAAGUCAGGUGUGAAAUCUCGGGGCUCAAACCCCGGAAACUGCCACUUGAUACUGUGGUGCGUCGGAGUACUGGGAGAGGGAGAUUGGCAAUUUACGGUGUAGCAGUAGAAAUGCGUAGAUAGUCGUAACGGGAAGGACCAGUGGCGUAAGGCGGAAUCUCUGGACGGUAGCUGACAACUGGAGGCACGA